rnacentral:misc_RNA from 1 species
UGUAGGAGUGAGCCUGCUCGCGAUAGCGGUGUGUCAGACAGCAACUUUGGGCCUGACACACCGCUAUCGCGAGCAGGCUCACUCCCACA